UGGGGAAUAUUGCACAAUGGGGGAAACCCUGAUGCAGCAACGCCGCGUGAACGAUGAAGGUCUUCGGAUCGUAAAGUUCUGUUGCAGGGGAAGAUAAUGACGGUACCCUGUGAGGAAGCCCCGGCUAACUACGUGCCAGCAGCCGCGGUAAUACGUAGGGGGCUAGCGUUAUCCGGAUUUACUGGGCGUAAAGGGUGCGUAGGUGGUCUUUCAAGUCGGUGGUUAAAGGCUACGGCUCAACCGUAGUUAGCCUCCGAAACUGGAAGACUUGAGUGCAGGAGAGGAAAGUGGAAUUCCCAGUGUAGCGGUGAAAUGCGUAGAUAUUGGGAGGAACACCAGUAGCGAAGGCGGCUUUCUGGACUGAAACUGACACUGAGGCACGAAAGCGUGGGUAGCAAACAGG
rnacentral:rRNA from 1 species